AACAACACUCAAAAUCAUCAGCACUCAUAAAAUUGAUGUAAGAUAAACAAAUCAAUGAAGAAUCAACUGGGAAAAAAAGGCAUCGAAACAGUAGAAUCAAUACUCAAAUUUCCAACGGAUUUGAGGGUUUUGUGCUUCUCAAGCACCACAGCACCAGAAGAAGAAGAACCUGGACCCUUGUUGUUACUGUUGUUGCUCAUGAACAAUGACCCUUUGUUCCAUUUGAACGAACCAAGAGGGAACGAACUUCGUCUCUUCUCGUUUGUGCUGACCGGUGUACGGUCCAUUCUCUCCUUUGGAUUGCUGUUUGCUCUUAGUUUUGCUUUAGCUGAGACUGUUGGAGCCAUGUAGCUUGGAGCUGAGAAUGGAGGACAGCUUGUGAGGCUAUCAUCAUCUUUAAAAGGAGAAUCUUGUGUAGCUCGUCCUCCUCCUCGUGAGUAUCUUGAGACGCUGCUACUGUAUGGUUGCGGAGUAUGAAUGGGUCUAGAUGGAGUAACGAAUGUGGAUUUUGAUGAAUUGGGUGUUGACGUGUCGAAACUGUUGUUGAGCCUGAAAUGGUUUUGGUUGCUAGAUUGAGGCUGAGGGCUCAGGCUCGGUCGUGUUGGUGUUAGCCUGAACGGUUGGUUUUGAUUCUUCUGCCGGUCCACCCAGUUCCACCAAAGUGGGAACCCACUUGUUCUAAUGUCCUGAGCAGACUUUGGACUGUUUUUCCAUAACUGCAUAGGAAACAAGCAUAUAUAACAUUGGUAUGGUGAGUAAGAAGAAGAAUAGAUGAGUCAUGAUUGCAUACCUGCACGCUAUCGUCCCAAUCGUCAGACUGCAGGAAAGUAACAAUAAUUAAUGUCAAAAUGAAUAACUGAGAGAGAUCUUCUUUUCUCACUAAGUUUUAUGAGAGCACUUACCAUACGACUAGAGACUAAUUUCGUGUCAUCUUUAUCGUUCCUAGCUCGGUUUUCGAGCAUUUGGAUGCGACGUGACUGGACUUGUGUUUGGACUCGGACUAAAAGCUGCAUAUACUUCAUAGCAUUCAUCGUUUGACGCUUCACGCUGUGUCCUCUUACCACUCCUUGAAGCCUGACUAGACCUUUCAAAGCUCUGAAACUCCUCCUUGCCUGCAAACAAAUUUCCAUCUCCUAAAUUAUGAAUUUUACUGCUUGAUUAAUAGUGACAAAACAGAAUCAAGAAUGUUUUACAUUAUUACCAUGUAACCUCUAAAAGCUGCUUGAAUCUUAAUUGCAUAAGCAUUUUUGACCAAUAGACUUGGCUCUGGUCUAUGCACAAACUCACGUCGCUGCACAAUCCUAGGCGAAACCGCUCUUGGAGAAGGCGGCUUUGGAGAAGGGGGCUUCGGAUAAUGGACUUGAGGGUAAGCAACUCUUGGGGAAAUGGGUUUUGGAGAAGAGACAUAUCUUUGAGAAGGCACUUUAGGAGAAGCAGGCCUAACAAGAGGAGAUGCAACAGAGGUUGAUGAUGAAUUUGCUCGAUCAGUGGGAGUUGGUGGCCUAAAGACAAGGUUAUGCUCUCGUUCGGCUUCAGACAAGAUCUUUUCGAUACUACUAGGCUGUCUAAAAAUGGGAAGAAAUGAAUUGGUUUCUCCAUUCCUUAGUUUCUUUCCAAAACCUUUCUUCUUCUUUUCUUUGUUUUCACUCUUUAUCUCUGGUUCUUGCUUUCAAAACACAAAACCAAACACCAAAAUGU